rnacentral:sRNA from 1 species
AUUUUUUUGUUAGUAUUGUUUCUUUUGUAUAGUGUUAAAGAUAAUAUUAUUGUAUUUUGAUUGUUAUAUUUAGGAUUUCAUCUGUGAUAUACCGUCUCGUAUUACUAUCGACCAAACCCGUCCUACCAUUUAAUCUCGUUCAGUGAAAUUAAAUAUAUCUAAUGAAUUUCACCCGUAGUAUACCGUCUCGUAUUACUUUCGAUCCAAACCCGUCAUACCAUCUAACCCCGUUCAGUGAAAUUAAAUAUUAUUUUGUUAUUUUUGUUUCAAUAAU